rnacentral:misc_RNA from 1 species
AGGGAAGUGGGGUGGCUCCCCAUGGCUUCUCCCGGGGCUGGCACUGAAGCUGGAGCACAGGAUGUGCUGACGGGGGUCCAGAGGCAGAGUCCUUAACUUACUCAGCUUAAGCGUGGCAUGGAGUCCCAACUGGGAGGGGCCCUGGCAGCAUGAAACCCCCACCCCCACUCUCUGCGACGGCCCAGAUGGAGGGCAGGAGGAACAGCGGUUCAGCCCUGGCUGGGGCUGCAGGGGCUGGGGUGUGUUACUCACUGGCACGAUGGAGAACUGCAUGAAGAGGCAGCGGAGUGCUGUCUGUCCCCACCCUUCCCCGCCCGGCCUCCAACUGGUGGGAACUGGAUUUUGCCGCUGCAAAUGACUUCCCCAUAUUUUGCCACAUUAACAGCUGACUGCACACCUGAGCCCCUAGGUGAAGCAGGGCCUCAGGUAGCCAGGGAACUGGUUGAGCAGAGGAAAUCGGAGAGACCUUUUUUUUUGUCAUGAACAGGCUCAGUGUGAAUGGGGGAACUUCCUGGUUCUGAGGGAAUGUGGGAAAAUUGCCCUUUAGGCUGGGUGAAGAAGAAAGCAAGUGGAACCCUGGCACCCCUGGACUUCCUCCUCCAGAGGAAGCGGCUUUGGUUGUGGGCCAGCGAGCCUGUGCGUCCCCAGCCCCAGGGCAUUCACCGCUUCAGAGAAGCAAGGCGACAGUUCUGCCGGAUGAGAGGAUCCAGGCUGACUGGAGGAAGGAAGGGCUUUGGCUCAUCUGGGCUCAGGUUUGGGAGAGAUGGCUUCUCAGAGGAGGUGAUGCCUCAGCCAGUCUUAAAGGCAAUGCGGUGUGCAGAGGGUGCUUGGUGGUUCUCUCCUGAUGGCCCCGCAGGGUCUGCAGCCUCCAUCUGGCCAGCAGAAGGCGCAGAAAGACUGCCUGGGCAGCUCGGACGUGACCGCCUGGAAGUGGUGUACAGCGUUCCUGACAACGUUCCCGGCCAAAACGGGUCCCGCCGCCCACUUGUGUGCAAGAUAACUGGAAAAUGUCUUUCUGUGUGCUCCGAGGAGAAUGCAAAGGCUGGUGGAUGUAGUGCCUUUCCUCUACUGCUCUCUCAGCUGGGGGCAAGAAUGACAGGACGUGAACAUGCACACAAGGGCCCGGAACUCACGACCCCCGACAGCGGUCUCCCCCGCCCCCCCAACCCCGCGCUUGCAGGAUUUAGGGCACUAGCACAGCACAGUCCACCCCUUGGGACUAGCACCCCCUCCGCAGUUCUGCUCUCUGCAGCAACAUAGAGUACAAAUAUUGUUCCUUUUGUUUCUUUUUUCCCUUUGGAUACAUUUUUAAUUACAAAAAUAGAGCUUGAUUGUUGCACCUAGACAGAUGUUUGCUUGCUUCUGGGCCCAUUGGGCCUCCUCUCAGAGCCUGGAACUCCCAGCCCCCAGCUCCUGGGGUGCCUUCCUCCAGGUGUGUCCCUGGCUUGGGCUGGGGGGACACAGCCCCGCUCCUGGGACGUGCAGGUUUAAAAUGCUAUUGGGUACCAUCUUUGAUCGAAUUCAGAGUGACAGACUUAGAGCAGGUCACCUCUCAGCUUCUAACGAGGCCAAGACGGAGGAAUCCCCACAGCACUGGGUUUGACUCUGUAAUUAAGCUGGUAAAGUGGAAAAAUAAAAGUAGGAAACCUAAGUGGAAACC